GGCGGUUCUCCAGUGAUGCACCCCAGAAUCGGGAUCCCUCCUCUGUGGUUCUGUGGUGUGUCACUUGAGAACUGCU
rfam:Myotis davidii contig63206, whole genome shotgun sequence.